UGGCCUUGGAAAUCUUAUUAGGACAACAUAUGCCCUACUGGGUUUGAGAACAUACUUCACUCCUGGCGAGAAGGCAUGACUGCACCUCAAGCUGCUGGAGUUAUACAGUCUGAAAGGUUGCUUAUGAUGAUUUUGUUGCUGCUGGAUCAUUUGCAGCUGCAAGAGAGAAAGGACUUGUCUACACUUGAUCAAAGUCAUUGAAGAAGAAGGCUAUGGAUGGUGCAUUGAUCAAAGCUAUUGAAGUAGUGUCGCAUUUGAAGGCUUAUUAAUUUGGGUGCAGCGAGCACACUUAAGUAGUAUCAAUUAAGUAGUAUAUAUUUUCAUACUUAAGUAGUAUAUAUUUUUAUGACUUUUUU